UACGGAAGGCAGCAGUGGGGAAUAUUGCACAAUGGGCGAAAGCCUGAUGCAGCUAUGCCGCGUGCAUGAAGAAGGCCUUAGGGUUGUAAAGUACUUUCAUCGGGGAGGAAAAACAAAACUAAUAAUUUUAUUUCUUGACGUUACCCGAAAAAGAAGCACCGGCUAACUCCGUGCCAGCAGCCGCGGUAAUACGGAGGGUGCUAGCGUUAAUCAGAAUUACUGGGCGUAAAGAGCACGUAGGUGGUUUUUUUAAGUCAGAUGUGAAAUCCCUGGGCUUAGCCUAGGAACUGCAUUUUGAAACUGAAAUACUAGAGUAUCGUAGAGGGAGGUAGAAUUCUAGGUGUAGCGGUGAAAUGCGUAGAUAUCUGGAGGAAUACCUGUGGCGAAAGCGGCCUCCUAAACGAAUACUGACACUGAGGUGCGAAAGCGUGGGGAGCGAAACAGGGAUUAGAUACCCGU
rnacentral:rRNA from 1 species